rnacentral:rRNA from 1 species
GACGAACGCUGGCGGCGUGCCUAAUACAUGCAAGUCGAACGCUGAAACUUGGUGCUUGCACCGAGCGGAUGAGUUGCGAACGGGUGAGUAACGCGUAGGUAACCUGCCUGGUAGCGGGGGAUAACUAUUGGAAACGAUAGCUAAUACCGCAUAAGAGUAGAUGUUGCAUGACAUUUGCUUAAAAGGUGCAAUUGCACCACUACCAGAUGGACCUGCGUUGUAUUAGCUAGUUGGUGGGGUAACGGCUCACCAAGGCGACGAUACAUAGCCGACCUGAGAGGGUGAUCGGCCACACUGGGACUGAGACACGGCCCAGACUCCUACGGGAGGCAGCAGUAGGGAAUCUUCGGCAAUGGACGGAAGUCUGACCGAGCAACGCCGCGGGAGUGAAGAAGGUUGUCGGAUCGUAAAGCUCUGUUGUAAGAGAAGAACGAGUGUGAGAGUGGAAAGUUCACACUGUGACGGUAGCUUACCAGAAAGGGACGGCUAACUACGUG